rnacentral:rRNA from 1 species
GGGGGGGGGGGGGGGGGGGGGGGGGGGAGGCGGGGCGGGGGGGGGGGGGCGGCGUGGGGGGGGUGGGGGGGUGGGGGACGGGGGAGGAGCACGUGGGUAACCGGCCCUCGACGUGGGGAUAACUUCAGGAAGCUGCGGGUAAUAACGGAUAGGAGCUGCUGAUGCGUGGUGGGGGUUGGGAGGGUUCGGCGGUUGGGGAUGGACUAGCGGAGUAUCAGCUGGUUGGUUGGGUAGCGGCUUACAAAGGCUUUGGCGGGUAGCCGGCGUGAGAGGGGGACCGGCAACAUUGGGACUGAGAGACGGCCCAGAGUCGUACGGGAGGCAGCAGUGGGGAAUAGUGCACAAUGGGCGGAAGCCUGAUGUAGCAACGAGUGGUGCGGGAUGACGGCCGUCGGGGUGUAAACCGCUUUCGCCUGUGACGAAGCGUGAGUGACGGUAAUGGGUAAAGAAGCACGGGCUAACUACGUG